rnacentral:rRNA from 1 species
CGUCUAUAUACGUAUAGCAUAUCAAUAAGCGGAGGAAAAGAAACUAACUAGGAUUCCCUCAGUAACGGCGAGUGAAGCGGGAAGAGCUCAAAUUUGAAAUCUUCAAGGUUUUACCUUGACGAAUUGUAGUUUAAAGAAGUGUUUUCUGUUGGAGUUUUGGUAAAAGUUCUUUGGAAUAGGACAUCAUAGAGGGUGAGAAUCCCGUAUUUGACCAUUAUCUCCAGCUUUGUGAUACACUUUCAAAGAGUCGGAUUGUUUGGGAAUGCAGUCCAAAAUGGGUGGUAAAUUUCAUCUAAAGCUAAAUAUUGGCGAGAGACCGAUAGCGAACAAGUACCGUGAGGGAAAGAUGAAAAGAACUUUGAAAAGAGAGUUAAACAGUACGUGAAAUUGUCAAAAGGGAAGCGUUUGACACCAGUGUUGUUUUUCCGAAAAUCAAUUACGAAUGUUUUGUUUUUAAGGAGUUAUGACUUCAUCGGCUUGCUCCUUUCUUUACGAAACUUUCUUAAUGCACUUUUCGGUUAACAAGUCAACAUCAAUUUCUUUUGUUGUAAAAGGGUAUGAGGAAGGUGGCUUUCUUUUCGGAGAAAGUGUUUAUAGCCCUUAUGCCUCUACAAUCGGAGAGAUUGAGGUCUGCAGCGUAGAUCCUUCGGGGUUAGAUACAUUUGUGCUAAGUUAUAGCUUUUCAUAGACAACUUGUUGACUAUGUUUAGUCUUGUAGCUUACUCGCUUAUGCUAUUUUACCUACGCUUAGGAUGUUGACUGAUAUGUAGUCGU